rnacentral:rRNA from 1 species
AGAGUUUGAUCCUGGCUCAGGAUGAACGCUAGCGACAGGCCUAACACAUGCAAGUCGAGGGGCAGCGGAGAGGUAGCAAUACCUUUGCCGGCGACCGGCGCACGGGUGAGUAACACGUAUGCAAUCCACCUGUAACAGGGGGAUAACCCGGAGAAAUCCGGACUAAUACCCCAUAAUAUGGGCUCUCCGCAUGGAGGGCUCAUUAAAGAGAGCAAUUUUGGUUACAGACGAGCAUGCGCUCCAUUAGCCAGUUGGCGGGGUAACGGCCCACCAAAGCGACGAUGGAUAGGGGUUCUGAGAGGAAGGUCCCCCACAUUGGAACUGAGACACGGUCCAAACUCCUACGGGAGGCAGCAGUGAGGAAUAUUGGUCAAUGGUCGGCAGACUGAACCAGCCAAGUCGCGUGAGGGAAGACGGCCCUACGGGUUGUAAACCUCUUUUGUCGGAGAGUAAAGUACGCUACGUGUAGCGUAUUGCAAGUAUCCGAAGAAAAAGCAUCGGCUAACUCCGUGCCAGCAGCCGCGGUAAUACGGAGGAUGCAAGCGUUAUCCGGAUUUAUUGGGUUUAAAGGGUGCGUAGGCGGCACGCCAAGUCAGCGGUGAAAUUUCCGGGCUCAACCCGGACUGUGCCGUUGAAACUGGCGAGCUAGAGUGCACAAGAGGCAGGCGGAAUGCGUGGUGUAGCGGUGAAAUGCAUAGAUAUCACGCAGAACCCCGAUUGCGAAGGCAGCCUGCUAGGGUGCGACAGACGCUGAGGCACGAAAGCGUGGGUAUCGAACAGGAUUAGAUACCCUGGUAGUCCACGCAGUAAACGAUGAAUACUAACUGUUUGCGAUACAAUGUAAGCGGUACAGCGAAAGCGUUAAGUAUUCCACCUGGGGAGUACGCCGGCAACGGUGAAACUCAAAGGAAUUGACGGGGGCCCG